rnacentral:rRNA from 1 species
UACAGAGGGUGCGAGCGUUGUCCGGAAUCACUGGGCGUAAAGGGCGCGUAGGCGGCUUGAUAAGCGUGCGGUGAAAGCCCGGGGCUCAACCCCGGGUCGGCCGUGCGAACUGUCGAGCUGGAGCACUGUAGAGGCAGGUGGAAUUCCGGGUGUAGCGGUGGAAUGCGUAGAUAUCAGGAGGAACACCGGUGGCGAAGGCGGAUCUCUGGGCCAUUACUGACGCUGAGGAGUGAAAGCGUGGGGAGCGAACAGG